AGAUGAAUAUAAAAGUAGUUGUGGUAGUUGUUCUAAGUUUAGUGAUACUGAUUUCAGCAAAGCCAAAUAAAAAGGGAAAGAAGAAUGACAAGAGCCUCCUUGAGCAGUAUAUUGAACUCUGUGAAGGUCUUCAAGAUGGAGAAAUAGAAAACACUGAAGCAGAAUAUGAUGAUGUGUUUACACAAUUUAAUACGAAAUGUACCGAUAUCUUAAAGUAUAAAGAGGAAGAAGAUGCCAUCGAAACGCUUGCG